GCCCCCUUAGCUCAACUGGAUAGAGCGACUGCCUUCGGAGCAGUAGGUUGCAGGUUCGACCCCUGCAGGGGGCACGA
rnacentral:tRNA from 1 species